CUAAGGGCUGCUGCUAUUUGAAUGUCAAGUUUUGAAUAACUAUUCUCUUCACCAUGAUUUUCUAACCUUUCCUUUUAUUUCAGACAAUGUGCAUAUCACCAGAGAGAAAUAUCCUCUGAUUGGGAUUGCGCUAUUUCUCCUCAUUUCUUUUGUCAAAAGAAGAAAGAAAUAUAAAGCAAUAAAAUUGAAAGAAGAAUGAGGAAGAGCAGAAGUGAGGGAAGAUAAAAAGGAAGGGAGAGAGGAAGUGAAAGAGAGAAAGAAGAAAGGAACAAUGGCUAGAAGAAAGGAAAGAUGGUUAGAAAGAAGGAAGCAGUGGAAGAAGGUGAAAAAGAAGUAAAGAGGAAGGAAAGAAGAAAAAAGGAGAGAAGGAAAAGAUAUG
rnacentral:lncRNA from 1 species